UGGUCAUUACCAAGGCUUUUAAAAUGUGGUUUCUAAUUUUCUGUGGACAUGACCAUAGACAAUUUCCCAGGAGUUUUGUUCUUUGCUACCUUGCUAGCGUAUAACCGAUUGGGGACAUUG
rnacentral:snoRNA from 1 species